rnacentral:rRNA from 1 species
GACGAACGCUGGCGGCGUGCUUAACACAUGCAAGUCGAACGCUGAAGCCCCGCCUUGCUGGUGUGCACGAGUGGCGAACGGGUGAGUAAUACGUGAGUAACCUGCCCUUGACUCUGGGAUAACCCCGGGAAACUGGGUCUAAUACUGGAUGCUACCUGUCGCCGCAUGGUGGUGUGUGGAAAGGGUUUACUGGUCUUGAAUGGCCCCACGGCUCUAUCACCUUGUUGGUGAGGUAAUGGGCUCACCAAGGCUACAACGGGUAGCCGGCCUGAAAGGGUGACCGGCCACUCUGGAACUGAAACACGGCCCAAACUCCUACGGGAGGCAGCAGUGGGGAAUAUUGCACAAUGGGCGAAAGCCUGAUGCUACGCCGCCGCGUGAGGGAUGACGGCCUUCGGGUUGUAAACCUCUUUCACCAGGGAAGAAGCCACAAUUGACGGUACCUGCAAAGAAACCGCCGGCUAACUACUUGCCAGAAGCCGCGGUAUUCCGUAGGGCCCAACCGUUGUCCGAAAUUAUGGGCCGUAAAGAGCUCGUAGGCGGUUUGUCGCGUCUGCUGUGAAAGCCCGGGGCUUACCCCCAGGUGUGCAGUGGGUACGGGCAGACUAUAGUGCAGUAGGGGAGACUGGAAUUCCUGGUGUAGCGGUGGAAUGCGCAGAUAUCAGGAGGAACACCGAUGGCGAAGGCAGGUCUCUGGGCUGUUCCUGACGCUGAGGAGCGAAAGCAUGGGGAGCGAACAGGAUUAGAUACCCUGGUAGUCCAUGCCGUAAACGUUGGGCACUAGGUGUGGGGGACAUUCCACGUUUUCCGCGCCGUAGCUAACGCAUUAAGUGCCCCGCCUGGGGAGUACGGCCGCAAGGCUAAAACUCAAAGGAAUUGACGGGGGCCCGCACAAGCGGCGGAGCAUGCGGAUUAAUUCGAUGCAACGCGAAGAACCUUACCAAGGCUUGACAUAUACCGGAUCGUUCCAGAGAUGGUUCUUCCCCUUUGGGGUCGGUAUACAGGUGGUGCAUGGUUGUCGUCAGCUCGUGUCGUGAGAUGUUGGGUUAAGUCCCGCAACGAGCGCAACCCUCGUUCCAUGUUGCCAGCACGUGAUGGUGGGGACUCAUGGGAGACUGCCGGGGUCAACUCGGAGGAAGGUGGGGAUGACGUCAAAUCAUCAUGCCCCUUAUGUCUUGGGCUUCACGCAUGCUACAAUGGCCGGUACAAAGGGUUGCGAUCCUGUGAGGUGGAGCUAAUCCCAAAAAGCCGGUCUCAGUUCGGAUUGAGGUCUGCAACUCGACCUCAUGAAGUCGGAGUCGCUAGUAAUCGCAGAUCAGCAACGCUGCGGUGAAUACGUUCCCGGGCCU